GUCGAACGCUGGCGGCGUGCCUAAUACAUGCAAGUCGAACGCAGUGGGGACGGGUGAGUAACACGUGGGUAACCUCCCAUCAGAGGGCAUAACACUUGGAUACAGGUGCUAAACCGCUACUGGUGGAUGGACCCGCGGGGCAUUAGCUAGUUGGUGGGGUACCGGCUCACCAAGGCCACGAUGCAUAGCCGACCUGAGAGUGUGAUCGGCCACACUGGGACUGAGACACGGCCCAGACUCCUACGGGAGGCAGCAGUGGGGAAUCUUCGGCAAUGGGCGAAAGUCUGACCGAGCAACGCCGCGUGAGUGAAGAAGGUUUUCGGAUCGUAAAACUCUGUUGUUAGAGAAGCGGUAUCUAACCAGAAAGCCACGGCUAACUACGUGCCAGCAGCCGCGGUAAUAC
rnacentral:rRNA from 1 species